AUUGAACGCUGGCGGCAGGCCUAACACAUGCAAGUCGAGCGGAUGAUGGGAGCUUGUUCCUUGAUUCAGCGGCGGACGGGUGAGUAAUGCCUAGGAAUCUGCCUGGUAGUGGGGGACAACGUUUCGAAAGGAACGCUAAUACCGCAUACGUCCUACGGGGGAAAGCAGGGGACCUUCGGGCCUUGCGCUAUCAGAUGAGCCUAGGUCGGAUUAGCUAGUUGGUGGGGUAAUGGCUUACCAAGGCAACGAUCAGUAACUGGUCUGAGAGGAUGAUCAGUCACACGGACACUGAGACACGGGUCCGACUCCUACGGGAGGCAGCAGUAGGGAAUAUUGGACAAUGGGCGCAAGCCUGAUCCAGCCAUCCCGCGUGAAGGAUUAAGGUCCUAUGGAUUGUAAACUUCUUUUUUGGGGGAAUAAAAACUGGCGUUUUCGCUGGCUUGAAGGUACCCCAAGAAUAAGCACCGGCUAACUCCGUGCCAGCCGCCGCCGUAACAC
rnacentral:rRNA from 1 species